GUAAUACUUUCUCCGUUCCGAAUUACUUGUCGUAGGUAUGGAUGUAUUUAGAUGUAUUCUAUUUUUAGAUACAUUCAUUUCUGCGACAAGUAAUUUGAAAUGGAGGAAGUACAAU
rnacentral:pre_miRNA from 1 species